GGGGGCAUAGCUCAGUGGUAGAGUGCAUGCCUAACACACACGAGGUCCUGGGUUUAAUUCCCAGUAACUCCA
rnacentral:tRNA from 1 species